CAGGUUUCUCUCUGUUGCUCAGGCUGGAGUGCAGUUCUACAAUCAGGGCUCACUGCAGCCUCUGCCUCCUGGGCUCAAGUGAUCUCCCACCUCAGCCUCCAGAGUAGCUGCUACAGGCAUGUGCCACCCCACAGCAGGCUAAUUAAAAAAAAAAUGUAGAGAUGGUGUCUCCCUGUGUUGCCCAGGCUGAUCUCCAACUCCUGUUCUCAAGCAGUACCUCCCUCUUGGCCUCCAAAGUGCUUGGAUUACAAACGCGAGCCACCACAUUGGACUUCAACAUUGCCUUGUGCAAACAUUUUACUAUCAAAGGCAAGCCCUCUAGCUGGCUCAAUAAACCUCAAUUGAUUGGGACAACUGCCUCGGUCACUCAAUUUGGUUGUCGAAUUGAUACCACUACACCCUUACCAGGAAUCAUUUGACUGGUAAGGGGAGAAACCCUGAAGUGAGCAUGCCUACAACUCCAGUAAACACACUGUGCAUGCAGCCCCUCCCAACAGCGGACAGCCCACCCCAACGGAAGAAUAUGGGGAUAAGGGACAAAACCCCCUGGAA
rnacentral:lncRNA from 1 species